rnacentral:piRNA from 1 species
UCUAAAGUUCAUCAGACCUGCCCU